CGCCGCGAGCCGCCCCGGCGGCCUCUCACCUGUGUCGUCCCCGCGCGUCUGGGCGGCCGCGCUGCUGUUGUGGUAGGACUGGAGUUGCUGAGAUUGAAGGAAAACUCACUCCUUCGGAAGAGCGUGGCCUUCUCCCAUCUUGCUUCCCUUCUGCUGCUGAGCUCCUUGGACACCGGUCCCUGAAUACCAUCAUCGAGAAGACCUUGUAGGUGGGCUGCCCAGCCUUUUGGAGAGGAGGAACACCAGCGGCACUUUCCCCAGUAGAUUGGCUCUUCCUUCAAGUAAUAGCUCUCAUCCGGAUCAGACAAAAGAUGAACCAGCUGGACAACUGCUUGGAGGACUAAGCUCUAGGGGCAGUGAAAUGGCAUCAGUGUUCUAACCUACCCAUAGAAAUGCAAGGGGAGGAGAAUGUAUUUCGCAGCUCUUCCCAGGGUGCUUUCUAUGUGAUCCUGGAAGGGAUGGGUUGAUAAAAUCCUUAGGGAUAGAAAGUAGGGAGUAAUCAGAAUGUAGAGAAAUGGGAAACUGUUUUACUUCAGGGUUCCUGUUUUUCUGACCGAGGUAUAUAAAUUAGGCGCUCCGGCUAGCUCAUCUCUGACUGGAGGGCAGGCUAAGUACUCUAGUGGGCCUCCUGCUCAGUUCUUGCCCUGUAGUAAAGAGAAGACAAGGCGGAAGUGCCAAUUCAUGAGCCUCCAUGUCCUUCCUGUACACUCCAGAGCUCGACGGUGCACACAACAGUCUUGCCAUUCUAGGACGUGAGCGCUGAGGGUGUCUUUGUUUACCUGAGGGUAUGGGUCAUUGCUAACAGAGUACUUCAAGCGAAGUGGAAUUUGAACCCUUUGUCUAGAAGUCAGGUGGCCAGGUCCUGUAUUGAAUUAAUUAGGUCAAUGGAGACACCAGGUAGAGCAGGAAACUUUAGACAUAGUUGGCUGAGAGGCAAUAUUGCUGGUUAGCUGUAGAGGCGGGUGUCGUGGAACAAACUUAGACUAAUAAAAUGUGGAACCAGCA